AUUGAACGCUGGCGGCAUGCCUUACACAUGCAAGUCGAACGGCAGCGCGGACUUCGGUCUGGCGGCGUGUGGAGAACGGGUGAGUAAUACAUCGGAACGUACCCUGUUGUGGGGGAUAACUAGUCGAAAGAUUAGCUAAUACCGCAUACGACCUGAGGGUGAAAGUGGGGGACCGCAAGGCCUCACGCAGCAGGAGCGGCCGAUGUCUGAUUAGCUAGUUGGUGGGGUAAAGGCCCACCAAGGCGACGAUCAGUAGCUAGUCUGAGAGGACGAUCAGCCACACUGGGACUGAGACACGGCCCAGACUCCUACGGGAGGCAGCAGUGGGGAAUUUUGGACAAUGGGGGCAACCCUGAUCCAGCAAUGCCGCGUGUGUGAAGAAGGCCUUCGGGUUGUAAAGCACUUUUGUCCGGAAAGAAAUCGCGCUGGUUAAUACCUGGCGUGGAUGACGGUACCGGAAGAAUAAGCACCGGCUAACUACGUG
rnacentral:rRNA from 1 species